GCUGUAUAUACUUGCAUUAUUCACCCAAUAAAGAUUGGUUCGUAUAGUCUUGAAUACCAACCCCCUCCUCCUUUCUUUCUUCAUGAUGGUGGCUCAUCACCUUGAAUACCGGCCUCCUCCGCUCCUAGACGUGCCUGGAUAGGCUGUAUGCUAGCUGAGAAUGGUUUGUUGCCAUGAGAGGAGCUUUCAAGGAGGCUAAGAGAUGCAAGACCAGCUCAGAUACAUGCUUCUUUGGUCUUCAAUUAUGAGGUUGAUCAUAAGAACAUUGUUUUAGCAGUCAUGACAGUGACUGCAGACAAUGGUGGACCUUCGACUUUAGUUGAAACAGUAUUGUUCUCCAAGUUCAUUAGGCUGGUUCAAAGCCAAGUUCUAUUUACAUUUGUUUCUUAAUUGUGCGACACCAACGGGCAGGGGAAGGAGGUGCCGCGCCUGUUCGUACCCCACAGAAAUUUUCCACAAACAUUUUUCCAGUUCAUCUCAUGGAUAGGGUAGUUUCAUCUACUUGUUUAUUCAGUCAUGUAUCAUGAUUCCAGCUAUAUAUGUGAAGCACCAAUUCGUUUCUUCAAGACAGACUACCAACUACUGUACUAUUCUUUACCAUUUCUAGAGCACUCCAAAAAUAAUCAACCUUUGCACAUCAUUAUUUA